rnacentral:rRNA from 1 species
UACGAAGGGGACUAGCGUUGUUCGGAAUCACUGGGCGUAAAGCGCACGUAGGUGGAUUUGUAAGUCAGGGGUGAAAUCCCGGGGCUCAACCUCGGAACUGCCUUUGAUACUGCGAAUCUUGAGUCCGAUAGAGGUGGGUGGAAUUCCUAGUGUAGAGGUGAAAUUCGAUAGAUAUUAGGAAGAACACCAGUGGCGAAGGCGGCCCACUGGAUCGGUACUGACACUGAGGUGCGAAAGACGUGGGGGAGCA